CAACCUUUGGCUGCUCCUUCAGGAUGCAGAGCCUGCAGAGUCAGCCCUGACCAUGUCGAUUGUGCCAACAGGGUGAGAAGGGACAAGCUGGUGACCCUGGUCUUCCUGGACUCCCUGGCCCAAAGGGAGAGAAGGGAAUUGCUGAGAAUGCCUUGGUGGGAGCUAAAGGAGAACCUGGCCCUCCAGGUCUGCCUGGACCCCCUGGACCAAAGGGAGAAGCUGGUGACGUUGGCCGGCCGGGUGCUGCAGGGUCACAGGGAGAAAAGGUACAGAGUGCUUCUUCAGGUUCCGAAGCUGCAGAUUUGUUCCUAUGUGUACAAAACUUAGCUGA
ensembl:lncRNA